CAGCAGCCACGGGAAUACGAAGGGGGCUAGCGUUGUUCGGAUUUACUGGGCGUAAAGCGCACGUAGGCGGAUCGAUCAGUCAGGGGUGAAAUCCCAGAGCUCAACUCUGGAACUGCCUUUGAUACUGUCGAUCUGGAGUAUGGAAGAGGUGAGUGGAAUUCCGAGUGUAGAGGUGAAAUUCGUAGAUAUUCGGAGGAACACCAGUGGCGAAGGCGGCUCACUGGUCCAUUACUGACGCUGAGGUGCGAAAGCGUGGGGAGCAAACAGGAUUAGAUACCCCAGUAGUCCCUGUCUCUUAUAC
rnacentral:rRNA from 1 species